rnacentral:rRNA from 1 species
AUUGAACGCUGGCGGCAGGCUUAACACAUGCAAGUCGAGCGGGGGAAGGUAGCUUGCUACCGGACCUAGCGGCGGACGGGUGAGUAAUGCUUAGGAAUCUGCCUAUUAGUGGGGGACAACAUCUCGAAAGGGAUGCUAAUGCCGCAUACGUCCUACGGGAGAAAGCAGGGGAUCUUCGGACCUUGCGCUAAUAGAUGAGCCUAAGUCGGAUUAGCUAGUUGGUGGGGUAAAGGCCUACCAAGGCGACGAUCUGUAGCGGGUCUGAGAGGAUGAUCCGCCACACUGGGACUGAGACACGGCCCAGACUCCUACGGGAGGCAGCAGUGGGGAAUAUUGGACAAUGGGGGGAACCCUGAUCCAGCCAUGCCGCGUGUGUGAAGAAGGCCUUAUGGUUGUAAAGCACUUUAAGCGAGGAGGAGGCUACUUUAGUUAAUACCUAGAGAUAGUGGACGUUACUCGCAGAAUAAGCACCGGCUAACUCUGUGCCAGCCGCCGCCGUAAGAC